rnacentral:rRNA from 1 species
UACAGAGGGGGCAAGCGUUGCUCGGAAUUACUGGGCGUAAAGGGCGCGUAGGCGGGAUGGCAAGUCGGUCGUGAAAUCCCUCGGCUCAACCGAGGAACGUCGAUCGAUACUGCUGUUCUUGAGGAUUGCAGAGGAGACUGGAAUUCCCGGUGUAGCGGUGAAAUGCGUAGAGAUGUGGAGGAACACCGAUGGCGAAGGCAGCCCCCUGGGUCAAGAUUGACGCUCA